rnacentral:rRNA from 1 species
GACGAACGCUGGCGGCGUGCUUAACACAUGCAAGUCGAACGGAAAGGCCCUGCUUUUGUGGGGUGCUCGAGUGGCGAACGGGUGAGUAACACGUGAGUAACCUGCCCUUGACUUUGGGAUAACUUCAGGAAACUGGGGCUAAUACCGGAUAGGAGCUCCUGCUGCAUGGUGGGGGUUGGAAAGUUUCGGCGGUUGGGGAUGGACUCGCGGCUUAUCAGCUUGUUGGUGGGGUAGUGGCUUACCAAGGCUUUGACGGGUAGCCGGCCUGGGAGGGUGACCGGCCACAUUGGGACUGAGAUACGGCCCAGACUCCUACGGGAGGCAGCAGUGGGGAAUAUUGCACAAUGGGCGGAAGCCGGAUGCAGCAACGCCGCGUGCGGGAUGACGGCCUUCGGGUUGUAAACCGCUUUCGCCUGUGACGAAGCGUGAGUGACGGUAAUGGGGAAAGAAGCACCGGCUAACUACGU